GAGCUCAACAGGUGACUGGGUACCUGGAUAUGUGAUCGAGUAUUCUUCUGGGUGUUUCUAUGAGGAUGUUUUUGGAUGAAAUUGGCAUUUAAAUUGGUAAACUGAGUAAAGCAGUCUGUCCCCCUAACCGGGGUGGGCUUCAUGUAAUCAGCUCAAGGUUUGAAUACAACAAAAAGACUUACACUCUCGCAAGUGAAAGGCAAUUCUUUCUGCCUGGUAGCCUUCAAACUGAGACACAGGCUUUUAUCCUGCCUUCAGAUUCGCCUGGGAACACUGGCUCUUCCUGAGUCUCAAGCCUGCUGGCCUUGAGACAAGAACUACAUCAGCUCUCUCAGUUCUCAAGCCUUUGGACUUACUCUGGAACUAAGCCAUCAGCUCUCUUGGGUCGUCAGCUUGCCAACCAACUCAUCCUGAAGAUCUUGGGACUUGCCAGCCUUCAUAGUCACGUGGGCCAAUUCCUUUUUUUUUUUUUUUUUUUGAGAUGGGGUCUUACUCUGUUGCCCAGGCUGGACUGCAAUGGCACGAUUAUGGCUCACUGCAGCCUCAACCUCCAGGGCUUGAGUGAUCCUCCCACCUCAGCCUCCCAAGUAGCUGGGACUACAGGCACAUGCUACCAUGCCCAGCUAAUUAAAAAAAAUUUUUUUUUUGUAGAGACGGAGUUUCACUGUGUUGCUCAGGCUGGUCUUGAACUCCUGAGCUCAAGCAACCCUCCACUUCAGCUUCCCAAAGUGCUGGGAUUACAGGCAUCACUGGCCCAGGCAGAGCCAAUUCUGUAUAAUAAAUCUGUCUCUCUCUGUCUCUCGUGUAUGUGUGUGUGUGCACAUUCUGUUUUGCUAGAGAAUGCUGACUAAUACAGA
rnacentral:lncRNA from 1 species